UUUGUGCUAAAGUCAACAGUGACAGAGUUUGAGCUCAAAUAAAUGCCGUGAUGUCUGGAGCCCUUUGCAGAAGGCAGAAGGCGAUGCUUCUACAAUGGGCUCCUGUGUGGCUUGCCAACAACAAGCACCGGCUAUUUUGCACAGGGCUCUGCUGACUGAAGUGAUCCCCACGGCCAGAGUGGAAGAGAGGAGGGAGAGGAAGCCUCAGAGGGAAGAGGGAUAGCUGCAGAAGAGCUACACUGAUGCACACACACACUCACUCAAACACUCACACAAUGUCCCACUCAGUCCUGGGUUGUGACCGGCCCAUGGCAUUGGCCAGAUGCACAUGGCUUUCAUUCGAAGGCGCUGCUUACGUCUACUUUCAUCACCCUGCAUCGAGCGACCUGAAAGCACUUCCCUGUCGAUGUACUUGGCUAUAUCUACGUCUGACCUGUCUGCCAUAUGUAAUAUCAAAGCCUCUGUCAGCGUGGAGCUGAAUGGGAACAAAAGAGAGGCCUCCAUUAAUGAUUAACUGUUCUAAAAGCCCCGGCUUUUGUAUUCCCAUGGUGCCCAGGCUAUCUGGCCACCAUGUGACAUGCUCACAGCAUUUUUCGAGCAGAUUGGGGGAAAGCUAGUGAGCAAACACAGGUGCUUUGGAGCAGCGUUGCCGACGCUGUCAGGGACAACCACAAACAAGAGCAGCUAUGCCUGGCUAAAUGAAUCCCCACCCCUCCCAGCACCAUCACCACCCCCUCUCCGUCACUAGCUAACUUGUUUGCUACCUCCCUAUAGGUUUCUACCCGCAAAGCCUUCCUUCUGGAGAGUCCCCACGUCCCCCCCCAACACAAGUCCAGUGUCCGCUACAGCCGUGCUCUACAACUUCUCACACCCUCCAAAGAAACAAACAAAUAAAAGUGAGGACGGCCGACCACUUCUUUGAGGUGAUGGCAUUUGCUGUGGUCAUGACUAGUGGGAGAGCAAACAAAUUAAUGGUGUUCCGAGUUUUCACUUUCCAAACCAAACUAAAUGUCUUUUAGUUCAAGUGGGGCAAUUCCACUGACCCUGGUGUCAAAUGCUGUAUAAGGGUUGCACACUCUUGCACUUGAAAUGCCGAGAGGAGGCCGUAAGAAAUUAAACAGGGCUUGAGUAUUGGCCCACAUGAACCUGGUGUGUUGAAACUCCUUAAAGUGUCAUGUGUCAAAUAAAUCUUGAACAAAUUGUGUGUGUAAUAAACACUCGUGGUUUAUUUAUUUUAUUUUUUUCUGUCUGUCUAUUUUGACCACAAACUUUAACAAGGUGUCUGGAGCACUUAACCUUUUCAUAUAAGCUGACUGAUUGUUCAGAGAGACUGCGGGUGCUGUGUCGCUCAACUUUGAUAAGACAAUCAGAUGAUAGGAUGGCGUUAUCUUAACAUGGCUUUCCGGCUGGGGGACAAAUGAACACUGUGUGAUAACAGGAACAAAAGCUUAGCUCUUAUUGGCUGCCUCCUCCAAAGAAAGGGAAAAUUAUCAGGGUGGAAAAUUCACAAUGGGCGCAGUUUUCAUUUUCAAUUUUCUACUUAGCCCAGGUCACAGGACAGCUUUUUUUUCUAGUCACUCAAAUAUUUAUAUUGUCUCUCGUUCGCAUUUUGGUUUCACAGUGCGCAAUUACCUGCGCCUAUAAAGUUGUCUUUAUCACUACAGAGAUGAUAAAAAAAUGUUUUAAAGCAAACGAUUUAAAUCAACAGGACGGGAAAUGAAGUUGUAAAAGUGAGAGACGGCUGUAGAAAAAGAGGCUGACAAGGAGUGAGUAUGAUAUAUACUGUAGAUAUAUUUCUAGAAAAAUGAAAGGACAGAAAAAUCUUGUCUGUGUCAGAGAGAGAGCAGGAGAUGGAAAGAUGGAGGAAAAGGGUCAAAAGUUGCUUCUUCUGGGACCUGCUACUGAUCAGUAAAACGCCACUUCUGUCUGUGUUUUCUGACUUUUGCAGCCCAAUUCUCAGAGUCAGUGAGGGGUGUGUAUACUCAAGGAUUCACUCUGGGAUUUGUUUGCUCUAUUGCCAAAAAAUGAUUGGAAAAAAUAUUGGUGCCCUGGUAGGAAAUGUUGGAACUUUCUCUGACUUAAAAAAACCCUCUUGCU